UACGUAGGGGGGCGAGCGUUACCCGGAUUUACUGGGCGUAAAGCGCGUGUAGGCGGCUGGUCAAGCGUGGUGUGAAAUCUCCGGGCUCAACCCGGAAACUGCAUUGCGAACUGACCUAGCUGGAGUGCAGGAGAGGGCAGCGGAAUUCCCGGUGUAGCGGUGAAAUGCGUAGAUAUCGGGAAGAACACCAGUGGCGAAGGCAGCUCGCUGGGACGGUACUGACGCUGAGGCGCGAAAGCGUGGGAGCAAACAGG
rnacentral:rRNA from 1 species